GACGAACGCUGGCGGCGUGCUUAACACAUGCAAGUCGAACGAAGAGCGAUGGAAGCUUGCUUCUAUCAAUCUUAGUGGCGAACGGGUGAGUAACGCGUAAUCAACCUGCCCUUCAGAGGGGGACAACAGUUGGAAACGACUGCUAAUACCGCAUACGAUCUAAUCUCGGCAUCGAGGAUAGAUGAAAGGUGGCCUCUACAUGUAAGCUAUCACUGAAGGAGGGGAUUGCGUCUGAUUAGCUAGUUGGAGGGGUAACGGCCCACCAAGGCGAUGAUCAGUAGCCGGUCUGGGAGGAGGAACGGCCACAUUGGGACUGAGACACGGCCCAGACUCCUACGGGAGGCAGCAGUGGGGAAUCUUCCGCAAUGGACGAAAGUCUGACGGAGCAACGCCGCGUGAGUGAUGACGGCCUUCGGGUUGUAAAGCUCUGUUAAUCGGGACGAAAGGCCUUCUUGCGAAUAGGGAGAAGGAUUGACGGUACCGGAAUAGAAAGCCACGGCUAACUACGUG
rnacentral:rRNA from 1 species